GAUGAACGCUGGCGGCGUGCCUAAUACAUGCAAGUCGAGCGAACGGACGAGAAGCUUGCUUCUCUGAUGUUAGCGGCGGACGGGUGAGUAACACGUGGAUAACCUACCUAUAAGACUGGGAUAACUUCGGGAAACCGGAGCUAAUACCGGAUAAUAUUUUGAACCGCAUGGUUCAAAAGUGAAAGACGGUCUUGCUGUCACUUAUAGAUGGAUCCGCGCUGCAUUAGCUAGUUGGUAAGGUAACGGCUUACCAAGGCAACGAGGCAUAGCCGACCGGAGAGGGUGAUCGGCCACACUGGAACGGAGCCACGGUCCAUACUCCUACGGGAGGCAGCAGUAGGGAAUCUUCCGCAAUGGGCGAAAGCCUGACGGAGUAACGCCGCGUGAGUGAUGAAGGUCUUCGGAUCGUAAAACUCUGUUAUUAGUGAAGAACAUAUGUGUAAGUAACUGUGCACAUCUUGACGGUACCUAAUCAGAAAGCCACGGCUAACUACGUG
rnacentral:rRNA from 1 species